UUUAAUGAGAACUCCGGAUUGGCCUCCUUUGCGCUGCCUCGUGUGGUGCAUUGCGUGGCCGAGAAGUUGUUCAAAUUUGAUCAUUUAGAGGAAGUAAAAGUCGUAACAAGGUUUCCGUAGGUGAACCUGCGGAAGGAUCAUUACUGUACCUUUGUGUAAUAACAAACCGAAUACACUGUGAACUCACUGUGGGACCGGCGCGGGAUCGUGUGCGUGCGUGCGUCCAGUCAGUCAGUCUGACUGGCUGGCGCCGCACACGAGUCGCCUCUAGUUACCUUUUUAAACGUACCUAUUGUAGCCAACUAACGAGCGAAAGUAUUAAAAAGAGAAAACUGCUGACGGCGGAUCUCUUGGUUCGUGUAUCGAUGAAGAACGUAGCCAGUUGCGAAAAGUAAUGUGAAUUGCAGAAUGAAGUGAAUCAUCGAAUCUUUGAACGCAAAUUGCACUCUUUGGAAUUCCAUUGAGUAUGUCUGUCUGAGUGUCUUGACAAACCUUACACCUUCGGUGUGAACUCGGGCUUCCGGCUGCCUUUCGGGGCGGCUCGUGCCUGCAAGACCCUACUCGGCAACGCUUGAGACAACAACGUUUGAUCUUAGACAAGCUCCGUCCGAGUCCAACUCCAUUCAAUCAUGGACCUCAGAUCAGGCAAGACUACCCGCUGAAUUUAAGCAUAUUAAUAAGCGGAGGAAAAGAAACUAACUAGGAUUCC
rnacentral:rRNA from 1 species